UACGUAGGUGACCAGCGUUGUCCGGAUUUACUGGGCGUAAAGAGCGCGCAGGCGGUCGUUCAAGUCGCGUGUGAAAGCCCCCGGCUCAACUGGGGAGGGUCACGCGAUACUGGUCGACUCGAAGGCAGGAGAGGGUAGUGGAAUUCCCGGUGUAGUGGUGAAAUGCGUAGAUAUCGGGAGGAACACCAGUGGCGAAGGCGACUACCUGGCCUGUUUCUUGACGCUGAGGCGCGAAAGCUAGGGGAGCAAACGGG
rnacentral:rRNA from 1 species